rnacentral:rRNA from 1 species
AGAGUUUGAUCCUGGCUCAGGACGAACGCUGGCGGCGUGCUUAACACAUGCAAGUCGAACGAACGGAGGAAGAGCUUGCUCUUCCAAAGUUAGUGGCGGACGGGUGAGUAACACGUGGGCAACCUGCCUGUAAGUUGGGGAUAACUCCGGGAAACCGGGGCUAAUACCGAAUGAUAAAGUGUGGCGCAUGCCACGCUUUUGAAAGAUGGUUUCGGCUAUCGCUUACAGAUGGGCCCGCGGUGCAUUAGCUAGUUGGUAGGGUAAUGGCCUACCAAGGCAACGAUGCAUAGCCGACCUGAGAGGGUGAUCGGCCACAUUGGGACUGAGAUACGGCCCAGACUCCUCCGGGAGGCAGCAGUGGGGAAUAUUGCGCAAUGGGCGGAAGCCUGAUGGAGCAACGCCGCGUGUAUGAAGAAGGUUUUCGGAUCGUAAAGUACUGUUGUUAGAGAAGAACAAGGAUAAGAGUAACUUCUUGUCCCUUGACGGUACCUACACAGA